CAAGCUCCCCCCCUCCUCCUCCCGGCCGGCGCUCUUCUCCGGCGCGCUCGCUCGGCCGCUACCCGAGGAGUCCUCAACAAGUUGGAGGGAGGCAGAAAGGCAGGGGUUAAACUCGGGAAGCUGCAAUUACCAAGAUCGUGACCCUCCCACACAGUACAGUAACUUAUAUACUUACCUGGAAGAGCCCGCUUUGCCGCCGGGCAAACACCCGUGGGGGGGGGUGGGGCGGGGAGGGGCGGGAGGAGAGCGGCCCGGCCGGAGAGGGGCUCCUUCGCAGCUGGCUGCAGCGCGGACGGGACCGGCGCGCUCUCCCGCCGCCCCCCGGACCCAGGUGGUCAGCCUGUGUUGACACCAGAGGAGCCUGCUUCAGGAGUUGCUGCCGGAACAGUAGUUUGCAAGAGGCCACUGGAGCUGAAGAGCCUGGUGGAAUGUUCUCUGGACUCCCAGCAAAAUACCAACGGUUUCAUCUUCUGAAGAACCUCAGAGAUAACUUUACAGAUGGCAAACAACCUGAUUUGGACUAGAUGGCAUGACAGUCAUGGCUUCUU